UUCAAAAGAAAAUGAUGGAAAAAUUUAACAUAUAGAAUUUGAAAAUUGCUUGAGAUAGAAGUUAAUGGAUAAUUAUACGGUAGCCACGAGACGACGACUACGACAAUCAUGCGAUAUGAGAUAAAGAUCUUUAGAUGCAUCUCUGAAAACUUAUAAUAUUAGUGGUAUGCUGCCUUUUUAUUCUUUUGUUAUAGUCCAUUGUAUGUUUUAGAUCUUUUGUAUAUGUUAAUUGGUUUUUUUUUUCAACAUUGGGUUUUCAUCUUGUGUCCUUUGAAAGGGAUUUACCUAUCUGCAGUUCUGAAAACUCUUUUUCUAAAACAAUGGAAUUGCUGCAGAAGAUAUUUUUUUCAACUUUAUUAGUUGAUAAAUAUGAUGGAUGAAGAAUAUAAAUUGUUAUCAAUGUAACAAGAAGCCAAGAAUCAAAUAGUAGGGUACGUAGUGAUGGCGUUUUGAAACGCCAAAAUUGAAGUAGUUGGACAAGUGCAAUAAGUAUAUAUUACCAUUAUGGGUUCAGCCUAUACAUGUCAAGAAAACUGAAGUAAUUGUAAAUGUAGCUACAAUAAAAAUGGUUGAAAUGUCAAUCCAAAGAAGUAUCGAGCAGGGGUGAAGCUAGCUUGAAGGGUAAGAGCAUGAUUAUCGCAAGCUCCUAAGUAGGCUUUUAAGGUAAUUAAUAAUUAAAAACAAAAGAAAAAUAGGUAUUAACCUAAGAGACGUAUCCUAAUCAAGGAUCGGAAGAAACGUUUCUUAUCCUUCCAUCUCCUCUCCUCUCUCUCCAAUCCACCUUUGUAACUGAGAUCCACAGAGAGCUGUCCGGAUGCUGAAACAGAGCACAAGGAAGGUGAGACUUUGGAGUCAGAUGAGAUCAGUGAGGAAGUGUAUCUUCCGUUGAAAGAAUCAAUAGGACAUACUGAAGUUGAAGUGAUAGCAGGAGCUUUGUUCGGUAAGAGGUCCAAAUCGAUCUACUCAAAGAGUCUGUGUAUCUGGGAGAGGAGGAGAGAGAUGCAAGUACUUGCGCGGAAUCUAGCUCAAAGAGUCUCAAGAAGCCAGGAAGAACUGGUGCGUUGCUUAGAAAGGGACGGCUUCAAGUCGAUUCAAGACGCAAUUGGUGCAGAUCACAGAUGAUGAUCAAACACGAACAAGAACAAACUACAGAGGGGAGAGUCCUUUUCUUACAACAAAAACAAAAGAGAUGUAUUUAAAAGUUUCACUGAUUCAGUUGUUUUUUUCUGCCUAAACAAUAACAUGAUGGCUUUUGUCCUCUUUACUCUUUGCAUUAUGGGAAAUAACUAAGCAACUAUGACACCAAACACCAAGUAACUUCACAACACAAGAUUUAUAAUCUCUUUCUAUUCAAAGUCCAUAUAAAGUUUCACAACA